AUAGUCUGGUGGCGAUAGCGAGAAGGUCACACCCGUUCCCAUACCGAACACGGAAGUUAAGCUUCUCAGCGCCGAUGGUAGUUGGGGGCUGUCCCCCUGUGAGAGUAGGACGCUGCCGGGCACA
rnacentral:rRNA from 1 species